rnacentral:misc_RNA from 1 species
GUAGAAUAUUGGACAUGACAUAUUCUAUCAAAUGGAUGUCAACUAAUGUCACUUUUGCACGACGUUUUGAUGUGUAUUUGGACUACCCUUUCUUCGAGCACCAGAUCCAUUGGUUCUCCAUUUUCAAUUCAUUCAUGAUGGUUAUCUUUCUCACUGGUUUGGUGUCAAUGAUAUUGAUGCGGACUCUUAGAAAUGACUAUGCCAA